GAUGAACGCUAGCGGCAGGCCUAAUACAUGCAAGUCGGACGGGAUUCAGGAGCUUGCUUCUGAUGAGAGUGGCGCACGGGUGCGUAACACGUAUGUAACCUACCUUUAUCAGGGGGAUAGCCUCUCGAAAGAGAGAUUAAGCCCGCAUAAAAUCACAGCACAGCAUUGUGUAAUGAUCAAAUAUUUAUAGGAUAAAGAUGGGCAUGCGGAACAUUAGCUAGAUGGCGGGGUAACGGCCCACCAUGGCGACGAUGUUUAGGGGAUCUGAGAGGAUGGCCCCCCACACGGGUACUGGGACACGGACCAGACUCCUACGGGAGGCAGCAGUAAGGAAUAUUGGUCAAUGGGCGGAAGCCUGAACCAGCCAUGCCGCGUGCAGGAAGACGGCCCUACGGGUUGUAAACUGCUUUUAUACGGGAAUAAACCCAGAUACGUGUAUCUGGCUGAAUGUACUGUAAGAAUAAGGAUCGGCUAACUCCGUG
rnacentral:rRNA from 1 species